UACAGAGGUCUCAAGCGUUGUUCGGAUUCAUUGGGCGUAAAGAGCGUGUAGGCGGUCCGGUCAGUCGGUUGUGAAAGUCAAGGGCUCAACCCUUGAAUGCCGGCCGAUACUGCCGGGCUAGAGUCCGGAAGAGGUGAGUGGAAUUCCUGGUGUAGCGGUGGAAUGCGCAGAUAUCAGGAGGAACACCUAAGGCGAAGGCAGCUCGCUGGAACGGUACUGACGCUGAGGCGCGAAAGCGUGGGGAGCAAACAGG
rnacentral:rRNA from 1 species